CACGUAGGGUGCAAGCGUUGUCCGGAAUCAUUGGGCGUAAAGAGCUCGUAGGCGGCUUAGUAAGUCGGGUGUGAAACCUCCAGGCUCAACCUGGAGACGCCACCCGAUACUGCUAUAGCUAGAGUCCAGUAGGGGAGUGCGGAAUUCCCGGUGUAGCGGUGAAAUGCGCAGAUAUCGGGAGGAACACCAGCGGCGAAGGCGGCACUCUGGGCUGGAACUGACGCUCAGGAGCGAAAGCGUGGGUAGCGAACAGG
rnacentral:rRNA from 1 species